UUGGAAUUAUAUUUGAUGGGAAUUUGUUCUUUUGAUUAUGAAGUCCCUCUAAAUGAAACUUUCUAUUUGUCUAAUAGUAAAGUUUGGUUCUGUGAAUGAGGUACUUUGUGCUUUUGGAAUUUAAUAUUAAAGAAUUAUAAAUGAUGUCAAGUGAUUAAAACAAAAUGAUAAAUUCAGGGAAUAGGAACACGUUGAGUGUGUAUUGGAGUCAGCUAAUUAUUACAUUUUCAUUGUGAACGUUUAUAUCUCAGAAAUUGAUAGCUAUACAUCAGGACUUAAUUUUUUUGUUUUGUUGAUUGCCUAAGAAAAUCUUAAUAAUGCAGAUUAAAAUUAUAUGUGUAUUCCUAGGUGCAUUUUUUUCCAUAAAGAGAGCCUCUAUGGUGCUAUAAACAUUGCUUGAGUUUAGCAGGAAUGCAGUAGAGGAAAAAAUCAUUACCAGAAUGGAGGACUCAUAAUCGUAGGAUAAUAAUAAUAAUAAUAAUAAUAAUAAUAAUAAUAAUGAACAUAUAGCAUUUAUAUAGCAUUUUAAUGUUUGCCAAAGGUUUGACAUUCAACAUCUCAUUUUAGCCUUAUAAUAUUCCUGGAUGAAAUGAUCACCAAAUUAAUUUCUGGAACAAAAUUUUAGCCAGGGCCUGAUUAACAAAACAGAAAUAGAGAUGGAAGUUUGGAAGUUCACUAGAAAAUUUCAGACCUCCUCCCCUUCUUUUACUUUGUUACUUGUCUAUCUGAAUUUAAGGGACUUAACCUGUUUCUCUCUCUUUUCCCCUCAUCGAUAUUACAGAGAGUGGAGAAGUGGAUUUAAGAACCUUAGGGGAGUCUUUGAAUAAAAUAGAAGAAUUUAAUGAAGCCAAACGAAUCCAAAGUACCUGUAGCAUGGUCAGCCACAUCAGUGAAGGGAAAGUCAAGAUGGAAGAUCUCCCAGAUACCCUAUCCAGCUUAGAAGUGGAGUGUACUGAGGAAGAACUAAAAGAAGCCUUAAAAACAGCUGUACCUGAUGAGAAUAACAUGGUGAAUUUAAAUACCUUGAUUGCGGUUUUGUCCAAAAAUCAUGAGAUGUCUGAUGAGAAAAAACGUGAGUGUGAACUUCAAAACAGAAAUGGUUGAUACCUAGUCAGUUAUAUAACUCUAUUAUUUAAAUGGAAAUUUAUUAUAAAUAGUAACCACUUGACGUACCUUUUUUUUUUCUAUUUUAGGAUAAACUUUAAGCUAAUCAAUAUUAAUUGAACAGUUUCUUUGUGUUAGAUGUUUUUUUACUUACUCUAAGCAAUGGGCAUGACAUGUGGGUGGUAGAGAAAAGGGUUUGGUUUACAUUUGCCAUGCUUCUGAAGUACCUAAAUACAUUUUGGGAAACUCCAAAACCAACCUGUUUAACACUAGGACCUUCAAACUUUCACAACUGAUGAAGAGGAAUUCUUGUCAGUAGACUGUGAGCCAGAGCUUGUCCUUGUUUCCUAACUGGUUAUACACUGGGAGGCUAGGAUAAAAUGUGAGUCCU
rnacentral:lncRNA from 1 species